AAUUCGCCCUUAGAGUUUGAUCAUGGCUCACAACGAACGCUGGCGGCGUGGAUAAGACAUGCAANUCGAACGGGAUAUUUUUGUANCAAUACCGAAAUAUUCAGUGGCGAACGGGUGCGUAACACGUGGGUAACAUGCCGGGAAGUGAAGAAUAGCCCAGGGAAACUUGGAUUAAUGCUUCAUGUGGUCGCAAGACUAAAGACGGGGUAACCUGUCGCUUCCUGACUGGCCCGCGGCCUAUCAACUAGUUGGCGAGGUAACGGCUCACCAAGGCGACGACGGGUAGCUGGUCUGAGAGGAUGACCAGCCACACUGGAACUGAGGCACGGUCCANACACCUACGGGUGGCAGCAGUCGAGAAUCUUUCACAAUGGGGGCAACCCUGAUGGAGCGACGCCGCGUGGAGGAUAAGGUCUUCGGAUUGUAAACUCCUGUCAUGCGAGAGUAAGGCCCUGCGUUAACUGCGUAUGGGAUUGACAGUAUCGCAAGAGGAAGAGACGGCUAACUCUGUGCCAGCAGCCGCGGUAAUACAGAGGUCUCAAGCGUUGUUCGGAAUUACUGGGCGUAAAGGGUGCGUACGCUGCGCAGAAAGUCAGAUGUGAAAUCCGGGAGCUCAACUUCCGAAUUGCAUCCGAUACUCCUGUGCUAGAGGUCUGGAGAGGAGCUUGGAAUUCUCGGUGUAGCAGUGAAAUGCGUAGAG
rnacentral:rRNA from 1 species